GCUCUCGAUGAUCGCGCCGGUGCCCCGAAAGGGGCUUGAAUGGGAAUGCGGUGCGGGGUUCGCCCCAAAUCCGCGGCUGUCCCUGCAACUGUAAGCGGCGAGCGAAGGCGUCAUGCUCCCUGUCGGAGCGGCCACUGGGACGGUGCAUCCGCGGAUGCCCGCCUGGGAAGGCGAUGCCCCAGCUUUGACCCGCGAGCCAGGAGACCUGCCGGCGAUAAGGUCGCUCU
rnacentral:ncRNA from 2 species